AAGUCAUCCUUUGUAAUACCUAUUGCUCACAUGUAUUUGAGCACUUACACUAUUUUAUUAAAAUGAUCUGAUAUACAUUUUUAUAUUCCAUUAGACUCUAAAUUUCUUGAAGAAGUUAAUAUAUUGCAGGCUAUUUUUAUGAUUCCCACAAAUCCACCACCAACAUUCAGAAAGCCAGAACUUUGGUCCGAUGAUUUCACCGAUUUUGUUAAAAAGUGUUUGGUGAAGAAUCCUGAGCAGAGAGCUACUGCAACACAACUUUUACAGCAUCCUUUUAUCAAGAAUGCCAAACCUGUAUCAAUAUUAAGAGACCUGAUCACAGAAGCUAUGGAGAUCAAAGCUAAAAGACAUGAGGAACAGCAACGAGAAUUGGAAGAGGAAGAAGAAAAUUCGACAUCAGGAAUACAACUGUAAACAAGAUGUGGUUACUGCCCUUAUAGAUUUGAGAGUCUAAUGGGGGAUUUAGAC
rnacentral:lncRNA from 10 species